rnacentral:rRNA from 1 species
GACGAACGCUGGCGGCGUGCUUAACACAUGCAAGUCGAACGGAAAGGCCCUGCUUUUGUGGGGUGCUCGAGUGGUGAACGGGUGAGUAACACGUGAGUAACCUGCCCUUGACUUUGGGAUAACUUCAGGAAACUGGGGCUAAUACCGGAUAGGAGCUCCUGCUGCAUGGUGGGGGUUGGAAAGUUUCGGCGGUUGGGGAUGGACUCGCGGCUUAUCAGCUUGUUGGUGGGGUAGUGGCUUACCAAGGCUUUGACGGGUAGCCGGCCUGAGAGGGUGACCGGCCACAUUGGGACUGAGAUACGGCCCAGACUCCUACGGGGGGCAGCGGUGGGGAAUAUUGCACAAUGGGCGGAAGCCUGAUGCAGCAACGCCGCGUGCGGGAUGACGGCCUUCGGGUUGUAAACCGCUUUCGCCUGUGACGAAGCGUGAGUGACGGUAAUGGGUAAAGAAGCACCGGCUAACUACGUG